GACGAACGCUGGCGGCGUGCCUAACACAUGCAAGUCGAACGAGGUCCAUCCCGUGGCAACACGGGUGAAGACCUUGUGGCGAACGGGUGAGUAACACGUGAGGAACCUGCCCCGAAGACCGGGAUAACCCUCCGAAAGGAGAGCUAAUACCGGAUGUCCCCACCUGGCCGCAUGACCGGGUGAGGAAAUGGAUUCCGCUUCGGGAGGGCCUCGCGGCCUAUCAGCUUGUUGGUGGGGUAACGGCCCACCAAGGCAUCGACGGGUAGCUGGUCUGAGAGGACGAUCAGCCACACUGGGACUGAGACACGGCCCAGACUCCUACGGGAGGCAGCAGUGGGGAAUCUUGCGCAAUGGGCGAAAGCCUGACGCAGCAACGCCGCGUGGGGGAUGAAGGCUCUCGGGUUGUAAACCCCUUUCAGCAGGGACGAAUCAAGACGGUACCUGCAGAAGAAGCCCCGGCUAACUACGUGCCAGCCGCCGCCGUAAUAC
rnacentral:rRNA from 1 species